CCCUUAGAUGUUCUGGGCCGCACGCGCGCUACACUGGUGUAUUCAACGAGUUUAUAACCUUGGUCGUAAGGCCUGGGUAAUCUUCUGAAUGUACACCGUGAUUGGGCUAGAUUGUUGCAAUUUUCAAUCUCAAACGAGGAAUGCCUAGUAAACGCAAGUCAUCAACUUGCAUUGAUUACGUCCCUGCCCUUUGUACACACCGCCCGUCGCACCUACCGAUUGAAUGAUUCGGUGAAACUUUCGGAUUUCGACCUAGUUCCGUCAGGAGCCUGGACGAGAGAAGUUAUUUGAACCUCAUCAUUUAGAGGAAGGUGAANUCGUAACA
rnacentral:rRNA from 1 species